GUUUGGUGUUGAGGGUACUUGAUGCAUAACUUCUUUAACCGCUCCCAAUAAUCACAAAGCGAUUCUCCUGGAUGCUGUUUGAUACCGCAUAUUUUCUUCCUUAGGCU